GUGAUGUUCAUUCAUUGUCUCGAUGUGAACUUAAGAUAGUAACCUUUGGCCCUUACUGGCGUACAGUUGUGUCAGUGUAAACAGAUGCACACACACACAAACACCCCUUCUCCUGCACCAUUGAUCUCCAGCACACACUAGAGGUAAAUCGGAAAGGCGAGGUGGCCGUGGGACUACUGACCUCAAUCAGUUUUUUUCUAUAAUGUUGCCCUGGGGGCUUUCUCUCUGGAGGAGGGCACGUCAUGCAGGUGUCUGCACACGUGGCCUAGACAGCGUACCUAACAAUACCUAAAAGUCCGCCUUCUGUCUGUAAUUUAGGAAGGCUUAAAAGAGUGUCAUCAGGUCAGCACCCUCCACACCAUUCACGAUUGCCAACUUACAGCAUUUUAAACUUUCAAGAUUCAGUCCAGUAAUUCCAAAGGUCAAGAUCUUAUCUGAGUUUAUUAAUUUUUUUUAAGGUCGUUGGGUAAUGAAAUGUUAGAAACCUCUUUUCUCGGGGCUAACUUUUCUCCCUUGCAGCCGUCCCUUUCUCCGACCCUCUAUGAAGUCAGCUGAGUCGAGUGGGGGAGGUUUCCUUGCUCAACACGGGUAUAGAACCGGUGCGGCCGACUGGGACUCCAUUGCUCUAACCACUUGGCUCUCCGUUUCCCCAAACCCUGACAUGAACGUCAACGGUGUUGAGAAAGCGGAAGGUGCCUUCUGUGGGGUGUGUCUAUGUCCCACAUAUCCUCGCCUUGGGUCACGAGAGGGCGAGAGUUAGUACUGACCAACGGGCGACACGGGCUUUAAGAUAACUCUCAAUAAAAUAUGAGGGGAAGCGAAGUUGGUUUUGUGAUUUCCUUUUUCCCCGGGUGGGGGUCCCCGUGCAGGAACCAACCAGGAGGCCGCUAAAUAUUGGAUGUCUCGGCAUGGGGACCGUACAGCUUCCGGCGUGGCGCAAGGUAGCCAUUAAGCUGCUGGAGUGCCGCACUCCUCCAUCUUCUGGACUAUAUCUCCUACUCUCUCUCUCUCGCUGCUGUCGGCUACGUGUGAACUUCGGACUCCAUCAAACUUUAUGGGGCGUUAGAGGCGCGAGAGGAUCUGCUUUCGGCUGAAGAGGCGACAGUUCCUUGACCUUUAUCUUUCCUUCUCAUCUCCAGAUCUUAUAGAAGAGCUGAGAAAGCGAAGACAUAAAUUUUGGAGGCGAACUUCUUUUUUAGCAAAAUGUUGAGCGAUAGGCCGCGAAGACGUGGAUGAACAAGAAGAACAGAGUGAACUUUGCUAAUAAACCCACCCCAACCGUCGGCGAGGAUGGAAACAGGACUUGUCCUUAGGGAAAACUGCUCGCAGGUGCAAUGUAUUUUUAGCGACUCAUUAAGCUGUAAAGUAGCUUGAUGUACGUGCAUGCGUGUGUGCGUGCUUAAAACAGCAUCUCCGUAUCAUAUUAUUUGGGCUUUAAUUAAAAAAGAAGUUUAAAAAAUCUGGACUCUACAGGUGACUACAGUCAGACAUCAGCUAUUUUUAUUCAUUCAUCCAUUGAAGGUAUGGAGAAAUUGAA